rnacentral:rRNA from 1 species
UACGAGUGGUGCGAACGUUAUUCGGAAUCACUGGGCGUAAAGGGUGUGUAGGCAACAAUUCAAGUCUAUUGUUAAAGAUCCCAGCCUAACUGGGAAAAUGCAAAGGAUACUGAUUUGAUAGAGGGUGGAAGAGAGAAGUGGAAUUCUCGGAGUAGCGGUAAAAUGCGUAGAUAUCGAGAGGAACACCGAUGGCGAAGGCAGCUUCUUGGUCCAUACCUGACGCUGAUACACGAAAGCGUGGGGAGCAAACAGG